rnacentral:tRNA from 1 species
GGAAAGAUGCCGGAGUGGUCGAUCGGGCCGCACUCGAAAUGCGUUGUACGGGCAACUGUACCGGGGGUUCGAAUCCCUCUCUUUCCG